rnacentral:rRNA from 1 species
CAGCAGCCGCGGUAAUACGUAGGUGGCAAGCGUUGUCCGGAAUUAUUGGGCGUAAAGCGCGCGCAGGCGGUUCCUUAAGUCUGAUGUGAAAUCUCGCGGCUCAACCGUGAGCGGUCAUUGGAAACUGGGGAACUUGAGUGCAGGAGAGAAGAGCGGAAUUCCACGUGUAGCGGUGAAAUGCGUAGAGAUGUGGAGGAACACCAGUGGCGAAGGCGGCUCUUUGGCCUGUAACUGACGCUGAGGCGCGAAAGCGUGGGGAGCAAACAGGAUUAGAUACCCUGGUAGUCCACGCCGUAAACGAUGAGUGCUAGGUGUUAGAGGGUUUCCGCCCUUUAGUGCUGCAGCUAACGCAUUAAGCACUCCGCCUGGGGAGUACGGCCGCAAGGCUGAAACUUAAAGGAAUUGGCGGG